rnacentral:rRNA from 1 species
GGGACAACCCGCCGAAAGGCGGGCUAAACCCGCGUACAUGCCACCGGGGCAUCCCGGAGGCAGGAAAGGCUUCGGCCGGACAGGGAUGGGCAUGCGGCGCAUUAGGCAGUAGGCGGGGUAACGGCCCACCUAACCGACGAUGCGUAGGGGUUCUGAGAGGAAGGUCCCCCACACUGGUACUGAGACACGGACCAGACUCCUACGGGAGGCAGCAGUGAGGAAUAUUGGUCAAUGGUCGGGAGACUGAACCAGCCAAGCCGCGUGAGGGAGGAAGGUACAGAGUAUCGUAAACCUCUUUUGUCAGGGAACAAAGACUGGGACGCGUCCCCGGAUGAGUGUACCUGAAGAAAAAGCAUCGGCUAACUCCGUGCCAGCAGCCGCGGUAAUACGGAGGAUGCGAGCGUUAUCCGGAUUUAUUGGGUUUAAAGGGUGCGCAGGCGGUCUGUUAAGUCAGCGGUCAAAGCCCGGGGCUCAACCCCGGCCCGCCGUUGAAACUGGCAGUCUCGAGUUGGAGAGAAGUAUGCGGAAUGCGCGGUGUAGCGGUGAAAUGCAUAGAUAUCGCGCAGAACUCCGAUUGCGAAGGCAGCAUGCCGGCUCCACACUGACGCUGAGGCACGAAAGCGUGGGUAUCGAACAGGAUUAGAUACCCUGGUAGUCCACGCAGUAAACGAUGAAUGAUGGCUGUCCG